UUAAUUAGGCUCAAUAAAAUCCUAAUCAAAUCAGAAAUUGACUAAGCCCAACCCCUGAUCAAAUCAGGGAUCAAACAAUCUCGACGAUUAGGUCAACUCUUAACCUAAUCGGGUCAAACCCAACUGAAUCCAAUUCAAUUGGACUUAAUCCAAAAAUAAUUACAACAUCAAAUUGAGUUAAUUAGUGAUCAAAUCAUUAAUUAAACCUCUCAUAAAUACUGAGUCCAAAUUCGAUGGGCAAUCGGGCAUCAGAAUUCAUCGAUAUGUAAUCCUGAUCGAAAAGUCCCAACCAGUGGGACUCUUGACCCCGGUACCCAUAAUGUGUGGAACUCAUGAUCAGAGAAUCUUGAUUCUCGAUCACUGAGUUCCAAACAUGUAAUUCAACACCAGCCAUCAGAUCAGAUAGGAACCUCUAACGUGUGUAACCCCACAGGUUCGAACCUAAGCCGGUAGCACAGGAACCAAUUCCUGUACUAAUCGAAGUGAUCAUCUAGCAAUGGUACCCGA
rnacentral:lncRNA from 1 species